AGAGAGUUCAAUAGACCGUGAAACCGUUGGGAGGGAAGCUCAGGGUGUCGAGGUUGUCGUGCUCUGUUUGGGUUCAACUGGUGGUAGUUGGGUUGCCAGCUGCUGCCGGUGCACUCUCAUGCAGAGUUGGACCGUCAGUUGGGAAGACAUCAGGACCUGCAAUGAUCGAUGGAUGGGAGGUAAGCUUUGUGGUUCCCUCGGGUGCCCAGAGUGACGUAUAGCCGUUCCGUCGUGGUUCUGAUUGUCUUUCAGGUGUGUUUGGAUGACUGAUCGUCCAAAAUUGGAAGGUGCAGUCUCCCUCUCAUGGGAGGUCGAGCCGUUCUUGAGGUUGCGCCUCAAUGUGGUCACGUGUUCCGUUCCCUCCCCACUAUACUUCGGUGUGUGGGGCUAGGGUGCGGCACGAGCUGCAUUGAGUGUGUCCCAUCAGGAUCGUGUUCCAAGUUCUGUGCCUAGGUGACUGGCGAAGAGUCGUUACUCUGUGCCCCGUCUUGAAA
rnacentral:rRNA from 1 species